AGCCGGCAAAGUCCGAUCCCCACCUCCCCAUGGUGCCGGCUGGGUGCAGUAGACCCUCUCUUGUGUGGGUUGCAGCCAACGGGGGCGG
rfam:Anopheles farauti strain FAR1 unplaced genomic scaffold supercont2.10, whole genome shotgun sequence.